AAUAGAUACCCUGGUAGUCCACGCCGUAAACGUUGGACACUAGGUGUGGCGGUCUGAUCAACGACUGCCGUGCCGAAGCUAACGCAUUAAGUGUCCCGCCUAGGGAGUACGGCCGCAAGGCUAAAACUCAAAGGAAUUGACGGGUCCCCGCACAAGCGGCGGAGCAUGCGGCUUAAUUCGAUGCAACCCGAAGAACCUUACCUGGGUUUGACAUCAUGGGAAAAGCCGUGGAAACACGGUGUCCGUAAGGGCCCAUGACAGGUGGUGCAUGGCUGUCGUCAGCUCGUGUCGUGAGAUGUUGGGUUAAGUCCCGCAACGAGCGCAACCCUUGUCCUAUGUUGCCAGCGGUUUCGGCCGGGGACUCAUGGGAGACUGCCGGGGGAUAACUCGGAGGAAGGUGAGGACGAUGUCAAGUCAUCAUGCCCCUUAUAUCCAGGGCUGCACGCAUGCUACAAUGGUCGGUACAACGGGCAGCGAUCCUGCGAAGGUGAGCGAAUCCCACAAAGCCGGCUCAGUUCGGAUUGGAUCGU
rnacentral:rRNA from 1 species